rnacentral:lncRNA from 10 species
GAAUGUGCUUUAAUGCUGUAGCCCAGACAUUCCUAUUGCCGCAGAGCAUACCACCUGGGGGUGGGGAUGCUGCUGUCUGGGGAUCCUCAGCUGCAGUGCAAGUGGUGCCCGUGAAUUUUGAGACUCCUUCUGCUCCAGGCAGCUUUCCUGAACCUUGAGGAGGACUGGCUGGUGAUAAAUCCUAGGCUUCUGUUGUCCCUCAUUGCCUGUCGGUUCAGGGAAUGCAUGUGGAGGUUUGGUACAUGGCGAUAUUGCUUGUUGCUGAGGCUCAGUGUAAGAAUGAUCCUGUCACCAAGGUUUGACCUUGGAAGUCCUCAUGGAGAAAAUUGCAUCUGAGCUGGACCAUGAAAAAUGAGUAGGAUUUCAACAGAUAACAAUGGAAGAGAGAAAGCAAAUCAACCACCUUUCUUCGCUCAUCUGACAAAGUGCCUGAUUCCAGCCAGAGACUAUGUAAGCCCUUGGAGUGAUAUCAGUCUCUAUUGACUGAAUGCUAACCCAUGGAAUUAGAUAUCCAUGUGAGUCUAUUCUACACAUCCAUAAGAAAACCUUAUACCGAGGCUUACUGGUUUUAAAAGAGGAGAUGUCAAACUAAAGAAUGGAGAAGAAUUU